GGCUGGUACAAAGGCAGUGAGUUAUCUCACUUGAUUGUUCACAGUCAGUUACAGAUUGAACUCCUUGUUCUACUCUCCCUCCCCCCUUUUCACUACUGCACUUGACUAGUCUAAA
rnacentral:Y_RNA from 1 species